GGUGACGACGGGCCGGCAGCCUGGGUAAUACGUAGGGGGUGAGCGUUAUCCGGAAUUAGUGGGCGUAUAGGGGCCGUAGGCGGUUUGUCGCGUCUGUCGUGAAAGUCCGGGGAUUAACCCCGGAUCUGCGGGGGGUACGGGCAGACUAGAGUGCAGUAGGGGAGACUGGAAUUCCUGGUGUAGCGGUGGAAUGCGCAGAUAUCAGGAGGAACACCGAUGGCGAAGGCAGGUCUCCGGGCUGUAACUGACGCUGAGGAGCGAAAGCAUGGGGAGCGAACAGGAUUAGAUACCCCAGUAGUC
rnacentral:rRNA from 1 species